GAACGCUGGCGGGCGUGCCUAAUACAUGCAAGUCGAGCGAACAGACGAGGAGCUUGCUCCUCUGACGUUAGCGGCGGACGGGUGAGUAACACGUGGAUAACCUACCUAUAAGACUGGGAUAACUUCGGGAAACCGGAGCUAAUACCGGAUAACAUGUUGAACCGCAUGGUUCAACAGUGAAAGACGGUCUUGCUGUCACUUAUAGAUGGAUCCGCGCCGCAUUAGCUAGUUGGUAAGGUAACGGCUUACCAAGGCAACGAUGCGUAGCCGACCUGAGAGGGUGAUCGGCCACACUGGAACUGAGACACGGUCCAGACUCCUACGGGAGGCAGCAGUAGGGAAUCUUCCGCAAUGGGCGAAAGCCUGACGGAGCAACGCCGCGUGAGUGAAGAAGGUCUUCGGAUCGUAAAACUCUGUUAUUAGGGAAGAACAAAUGUGUAAGUAACUAUGCACGUCUUGACGGUACCUAAUCAGAAAGCCACGGCUAACUACGUGCCAGCAGCCGCGGUAAUACGUAGGUGGCAAGCGUUAUCCGGAAUUAUUGGGCGUAAAGCGCGCGUAGGCGGUUUUUUAAGUCUGAUGUGAAAGCCCACGGCUCAACCGUGGAGGGUCAUUGGAAACUGGAAAACUUGAGUGCAGAAGAGGAAAGUGGAAUUCCAUGUGUAGCGGUGAAAUGCGCAGAGAUAUGGAGGAACACCAGUGGCGAAGGCGACUUUCUGGUCUGUAACUGACGCUGAUGUGCGAAAGCGUGGGGAUCAAACAGGAUUAGAUACCCUGGUAGUCCACGCCGUAAACGAUGAGUGCUAAGUGUUAGGGGGUUUCCGCCCCUUAGUGCUGCAGCUAACGC
rnacentral:rRNA from 1 species